rnacentral:lncRNA from 1 species
CAAGAUAUCGUGGGACCAAACGUGGAGCCAUGACUACCUGAAAGUCAAGCUGACCUAUCUCAUGGCCUGCAUCUGCCCAGCGCGCUGCACAGGGACAGCUCGGUGCCAAAUGCCCAGUCCACCACCUGCCAGGAGCAGGCCUCUUUUGGAGAAGCAUGGAAAGUUUAUGAAUGAAGAAAGAUGGAGCUGGGAUGAGCUGGAUGUGCUUUCCUGGGACCAUCUCCAUCGCCUUGAAUGAUGAAAAGCCACUGCAUUCACAAUGUCAGGAGCACUUGGAGCCUGACAGGGGUGGUCAGGAGGAACAGACCCCAGGACAUGACUCUGUCUGGCACAGUGCAAGACGCAAUG